rnacentral:rRNA from 1 species
UUUGAUCAUGGCUCAGAUUGAACGCUGGCGGCAGGCCUAACACAUGCAAGUCGAGCGGCAGCACAGAGGAACUUGUUCCUUGGGUGGCGAGCGGCGGACGGGUGAGUAAUGCCUGGGAAAUUGCCCGGUAGAGGGGGAUAACCAUUGGAAACGAUGGCUAAUACCGCAUAACCUCGCAAGAGCAAAGCAGGGGACCUUCGGGCCUUGCGCUACCGGAUAUGCCCAGGUGGGAUUAGCUAGUUGGUGAGGUAAGGGCUCACCAAGGCGACGAUCCCUAGCUGGUCUGAGAGGAUGAUCAGCCACACUGGAACUGAGACACGGUCCAGACUCCUACGGGAGGCAGCAGUGGGGAAUAUUGCACAAUGGGCGCAAGCCUGAUGCAGCCAUGCCGCGUGUAUGAAGAAGGCCUUCGGGUUGUAAAGUACUUUCA